rnacentral:rRNA from 1 species
AACGAACGCUGGCGGCAGGCCUAACACAUGCAAGUCGAACGGGACCUUCGGGUCUAGUGGCGGACGGGUGAGUAACGCGUGGGAACGUGCCCUUUGGUUCGGAAUAGCCCCGGGAAACUGGGAGUAAUACCGGAUAAGCCCUGCGGGGGAAAGAUUUAUCGCCAAAGGAUCGGCCCGCGUUGGAUUAGGUAGUUGGUGGGGUAAUGGCUCACCAAGCCGACGAUCCAUAGCUAGUUUGAGAGGAUGAUCAGCCACACUGGGAGUGAGACACGGCCCAGACUCCUACGGGAGGCAGCAGUGGGGAAUCUAGACAAUGGGGGAAACCCUGAUCUAGCCAUGCCGCGUGAUCGAUGAAGGCCUUAGGGUUGUAAAGAUCUUUCAGUGGGGAAGAUAAUGACUGUACCCACAGAAGAAGCCCCGGCUAACUCCGUGCCAGCCGCCGCGGUAACAC